rnacentral:rRNA from 1 species
AGAGUUUGAUCCUGGCUCAGGAUGAACGCUAGCGGCAGGCUUAAUACAUGCAAGUCGAGGGGCAGCAUGACUGUAGCAAUACAGUUGAUGGCGACCGGCAAACGGGUGCGGAACACGUACACAACCUUCCUUUAAGCGGGGAAUAGCCCGGGGAAACCCGGAUUAAUACCCCAUAGUAUAUUGAUGAGGCAUCUUAUUAAUAUUAAAGAUUUAUUACUUGAAGAUGGGUGUGCGGCUGAUUAGCUAGUUGGCGGGGUAACGGCCCACCAAGGCAACGAUCAGUAACUGGUGUGAGAGCACGACCAGUCACACGGGCACUGAGACACGGGCCCGACUCCUACGGGAGGCAGCAGUAAGGAAUAUUGGUCAAUGGACGAAAGUCUGAACCAGCCAUGCCGCGUGGAGGAUGAAGGCCCUCUGGGUUGUAAACUUCUUUUAUAUGGGACGAAAAAAGGCUUUUCUAAGUCGUCUGACGGUACCAUUUGAAUAAGCACCGGCUAACUCCGUG